rnacentral:rRNA from 1 species
GACGAACCGAGCGAACGUUAUUCGGAAUCACUGGGCUUAAAGGGCGCGUAGGCGGGCGGCCAAGUCAGAGGUGAAAGCCCCCAGCUCAACUGGGGAAGUGCCUUUGAUACUGGUCAUCUUGAGGGAGAUAGGGGCGUGCGGAACUUCCGGUGGAGCGGUGAAAUGCGUAGAUAUCGGAAGGAACACCGGUGGCGAAAGCGGCGCGCUGGAUCUCUUCUGACGCUGAGGCGCGAAAGCCAGGGGAGCGAACGGG